rnacentral:tRNA from 1 species
GGAAAUGUGACUUAAUGGUAGAGUGCUUGCCUAUCAUGCAUGAAGUCCUGGGUUCAAUUCCUCAGUACCA